GGGUGCGUAAUACGUGAGAAUCUGCCUUUAGGAGGAGUAUAACUGUUGGAAACGACUGCUAACACUCCAUAUGUCGAGAGAUGAAAUAAUUUAUUGCCUAAAGAUGAGCUCGCGCCUGAUUAGCUAGUUGGUGAGGUAAUGGCUCACCAAGGCCACGAUCAGUAGCUGGUUUGAGAGAACGAUCAGCCACACUGGGACUGAGACACGGCCCAGACUCCUCCGGGAGGCAGCAGUGAGGAAUUUUCCGCAAUGGGCGAAAGCCUGACGGAGCAAUACCGCGUGAGGGAUGAAGGAUUUUGGUCUGUAAACCUCUUUUCUCAAGAAAGAAGUUCUGACGGUACUUGAGGAAUAAGCAUCGGCUAACUCCGUGCCAGCAGCCGCGGUAAUACGGGGGAUGCAAGCGUUAUCCGGAAUCAUUGGGCGUAAAGCGCCUGUAGGUUGUUUAAUAAGUCUGUUGUUAAA
rnacentral:rRNA from 1 species